ACCACCUCAGCAAGAAGUUAAUGACAGAACUUGGGAUGAUUAUCGGUCCAGGAAUUGACAAAGAUCUGAAAGACGUACAACAUACAGGAGUGACAUUGUUCAUGCCAGAGAAUGCCGCGUAUGGGAAGCUAUCUAAUUCACGUUCAUGUCACCUCAAAUUACUUCCGAUAAGGGAUAAAACAACUCUGAUACAAGCUCAUAUAUGCCGAGGGUAUUACAAUCUCCAUACACUCCAAUCCGCAAAGAUUCCGAGCCAAAUGACCCUGGCAGUGAAGACAAGAAAGCACCCAGCUUUCUUCUUAACAUCUCUUCGAUCAACGGUUCAGUGGUUGUAAUUAGCACCGGAGUUGUUGAAGCAGUUAUCACUCGGACCGUGUUUGAUCACUAUCCUAUUGUGAUUUAUGCGGUUUCCAAGGUUUUACUGCCAAAAGAGCUGUUUGGUACCAUACCUGAUAAUGAUGCUCCUCCUCCUCUUUGUGUGUGAUGAUUAUUCGUUCGGAUAGCUGCUUCCGCAGCUUUCUCCUCCCCAUUUCACCUCAGAUGUCUCUCAGGGUUGGAAGAAGGCUUCAGUUUUUAUGUGGAGGUGGUGCGAUGACAAAUGUUUAUGAGUUUUGUGACGUUGAUUUGAAAGAUAGCAUACAAGGUGUUUAUACUUAAGCUUAAUCAAUAAUCUUUACAAGCGAGCAUAUAAAAAUACAACCUGUAGAUUCCCUCUGGUUUCACUUAUUCACCAUUUUCGUUUUAAAUUUUAAUCAUGUGUGCUUCACAUUGAUUGCUGCAUCUCUUAUUUCUCUGAAAUUCAGAAGCUAAAUCAGCGCAUUUUGCGCUUCUACUA